rnacentral:rRNA from 1 species
AUUGAACGCUGGCGGAACGCUUUACACAUGCAAGUCGAACGGUAACGCGGAGAGAAGCUUGCUUCUCUCCGGCGACGAGUGGCGAACGGGUGAGUAAUACAUCGGAACGUGUCCGCUCGUGGGGGACAACCAGCCGAAAGGUUGGCUAAUACCGCAUGAGUUCUACGGAAGAAAGAGGGGGACCCGCAAGGGCCUCUCGCGAGCGGAGCGGCCGAUGACUGAUUAGCCGGUUGGUGAGGUAACGGCUCACCAAAGCAACGAUCAGUAGCUGGUCUGAGAGGACGACCAGCCACGCUGGGACUGAGACACGGCCCAGACUCCUACGGGAGGCAGCAGUGGGGAAUUUUGGACAAUGGGCGCAAGCCUGAUCCAGCUAUUCCGCGUGUGGGAUGAAGGCCCUCGGGUUGUAAACCACUUUUGUAGAGAACGAAAAGACACCUUCGAAUAAAGGGUGUUGCUAACGGUAC